CUUUUACAUUAAGCUUUCAACAUCAUAUCAUCUACUAUUAUAGCCAGCGGGCCUUUAUUGAUGCUGAGGAAUGACCAUAAGGUUCAAAUUUGACAUGGAAAUGACGCUGUGUCUCAAUCUUCUGGAAGUUCUUUCCAAGCUGGCUGAGAGAGGCAUUUCUUUACUGAUCAUUCUUGAGUACCCUCUGCUUCUUAGGAUGUACGCAUAAAUGUACUGGCUUGCAUAUGUAUAAGGUCAUGUAGAUGCCAUGGACAUUGACCUGGAGAACGCGAAACAGAUUCUUGGAUGCUUGUCAGGAACUAAAGGUUCGAUCAUUUCCAAAUACAAGCAUCUUGGCUUUUUUACUCCUUGCAGUCUGACGCACAAAGUUGAAACUAUUAUUGUCUCUGUGCUAUCAGAGAUAAUUCCUAUGCUGUAUCUUUGAGUGUUGACAUUAUUGUUCGAGUUGAUAUAUCAGUCAUAGUUGUACUUGGAGAACUUCUAAUUGUUUUGUGGUUAAGCCA